GACGAACGCUGGCGGCGUGCUUAACACAUGCAAGUCGAACGGUGAAGCGCCUUCCUUUUUGGUGGGUGUGGAUGAGUGGCGAACGGGUGAGUAACACGUGAGUAACCUGCCCCCUUCUUCUGGAUAACCGCAUGAAAGUGUGGCUAAUAUGGGAUAUUCUGGGUCUGUCGCAUGAUGGGUCUGGGAAAGAUAUUGUUUCGGUGGGGGAUGGGCUCGCGGCCUAUCAGCUUGUUGGUGGGGUGAUGGCCUACCAAGGCGGUGACGGGUAGCCGGCCUGAGAGGGUGGACGGUCACACUGGGACUGAGACACGGCCCAGACUCCUACGGGAGGCAGCAGUGGGGAAUAUUGCACAAUGGGCGCAAGCCUGAUGCAGCGACGCCGCGUGAGGGAUGGAGGCCUUCGGGUUGUGAACCUCUUUCGCCAGUGAAGCAGGCCUGCCUCGUUUGUGGGUGGGUUGACGGUAGCUGGAUAAGAAGCGCCGGCUAACUACGUG
rnacentral:rRNA from 1 species